UACGGAGGGAGCUAGCGUUGUUCGGAAUUACUGGGCGUAAAGCGCACGUAGGCGGCUUUGUAAGUUAGAAGUGAAAGCCCGGGGCUCAACCCCGGAAUUGCCUUUAAGACUGCAUCGCUUGAAUCCGGGAGAGGUGAGUGGAAUUCCGAGUGUAGAGGUGAAAUUCGUAGAUAUUGGGAAGAACACCGGUGGCGAAGGCGGCUAUCUGGACUGACAUUGACGCUGAGGCGCGAAAAGCGUGGGGGAGCAAACAGG
rnacentral:rRNA from 1 species